GGUGUAUGUAUUGCAGAUGAGUAAACCCAGAUCCAAAGAGUUGGGUAAAUUGCUCUGUGCAGCACAGCUAAUAAAUGAAAAAAAGUAGGCUCGAAACCUGGGUUAUUUGCCUUGGAACCCAAGCUGUGAGCCUGAAAGUUUACAGAAUAUGGAAGGCAUUGCAUAUUCUAUGCAUAACCUAUUUAAAAAUGGAAUUACUUUUAGUUUGCCCCUUAAUUAGUUCAUAACCAUUGACCUAAUAUGCUGUCUCAUUUCCUGCUCUGAAUUAGAAAUGAGAAGAGAUGGAAGCAACCAAUUAUUACUCAUUUUUACUAUUCUGUCGUAGUCCUUGCAAACUUUCAAUUACCCAAAUCAUUUCAUUUCUUUAACUGCACAAGCUGAUGUCAAAAGGCCUUGGGUUAUGGGUACAUACAUAUGGUGCCACGUGUUGUAAAAUUAUCACCAUCCUUUACCGUUUUAGAAAAUAGCUCUCAAAAUGAGAUCGCUUCCUUAUAACUCUAAAGACAUUAUCUUGAAUCCUCUCAGUCUUAAAGGCCCUUCAUGUCAAGAGAAGGUUUUGAAUUCCACCCAGGUAGAAACCACACCUGUUCACACCUGAGGGGGUGGCACCCCUUGCUGAAUGGGGAGCCCAGGGCAGUCACAAAACGCCCCCUGACUGGUGGAUGCAGCCAGCCCUCGUUCCCGUCCAGAUCUGAGAUGUUUGGUUAUUGCCUGUAUCAUGAUGUUUGUUUUUAUCUCGAGCCUUUUACGCUGGGAUGUCAACAUCCCCUUUAGAGAAAUAAGAGCAUUCUAUUGAUUCAUCAUGUUGCUGUGAAGGAGGGUGGCUGUCUUUGCUGUUCCAUCCAUUUCACAACAGGACCGGGACUCUGAGAGCUGCAGCCAGUGUGCCGGCUCCUGGACCCCAGCCUCCCCCCUGCAGCUCACCCCAGCAUCCCUGGGGCGUGGAGGCAGGGGUCAGCACACGCCUGCAGACUCUGCUUCCUUCCUCCACGGCACUCCACGAUUGCUCAUCUCUGUACUUCAGGGCAGAACCAAGCAGAGCAUGCUAAGCGCCUCCCCGAACUCAGGGUGGGAUAAAAAGACCANAAAAAAAAAAAAAAAAAAAAAAAAGGAAAAAGAAUAAAACCACAGCCAAGCCCACUUUGCUCUCACUCUCUGAAAAUUCACAAGGUCCCACUCCUUCACGUCUUCCUCUGUCCUUCAAGAUCUGCUGUGUGUUUAUUCUGUGCGAGGCUGGUGAUGCCUGAAGGACGUGGUUGCUGUGCUCCGGGGGCACAGAGAGGAAGGCCAACGCAGCUCCAACCUGGGCCCACAGGUGCCACUGGGGCCAGGGACAGGAGCAGGCCCUCAGCAGGAGGCCUGGCAGUGCCAGCGCUUAGGAAGACCACGGGCUCUGAAAAUGGGGUCAAGGAACAUUCUAGAAAGGAAGGCAGGAGAGUACCUCAGGGAGAGUUCAGGGUCAGCGCCCCAGAAAAUCAGAAAAGGGAAGGGUUUGGGUGGUUGGGAGGUUAAGGGUAACUUUAUCAAUGCUAGGGAAGAGAUUGUAGGGUAUUAAAAUAUAAAGAUGGAAUUUUCACUGAAGUGCAAUAGGAUUGGUGGCAUCUCUGCAGCGCCAGGACGCAGGUUCAAUCCCCAGCCCAAAACAGUGGGCUAAAGGAUCCAGCGUUGCCACAGCUGCAGGGUAGAUUGCAACGGUGGCUCGGAUCUGAUCCCUGGCCCAGGAACUCCAUAUGCUGCAGAACGGCCAAAAAAGAAAAUAAAUACAUAGAAACGAAAUGGUAAAGAGGAAAAUGUCACAGUCUCAACUCUGCAUGUCUGAGGCGGGAUGGGUACUGCACCCGACAGACCAAAAAGCCACGCAGCUCUGAGCAAGAAGCAGUGGGGGAGCUUAACCUUUCCAGGGAGUUUGCACUGACUUGCGUCACCCGGAAAGAUACGCUGAAGCCUUAACCCCUGCCCCUGGUACCUGUGGACGUGGUCUCAAGCAGAAACAGAGUCUUGGCAGAUGGAAUUAAGCUAAGAUAACCAGACUGGGAUGAUGGAGGCAGCUGCAAACCAGGGCAUCUGAGGACUUCCAGCAGCUGUCAGAGCCAGGGGGCAAGGAAGGAGCCCCCAGGCUUGCUCAGGCUGCUGUGAUAGAGUACCGCAGGCCGAGGGGCUUGAAUAACAGACAUUUGUCGUCUCAGUUCUGGAGGACGGACUCGGGAGGCUGGAAGGACCGCGCCGCCUCGGAAGGCUGUGUCGGAGCCCCUGUUCCAGCCUCUCUUGCCGCUGCGGGAGUUUGCUGGCAUCUCGGGUGCUCCUCCUCUUAUGGACACUACUCGCAUCUCUGCCUUCAUCUUCAGGCUGUUCUCCGUGUGCUUCUGCUGUGUCAGGGUCCCCUCUCACAAGGACACCAGUCAGACUGGCUUGGGGCCCACCCACUUCAGGGUGACCCCACCUGACCUCAUUACCUCUGCAAUGACCCUAUUUCCAAUUAGUGUCACAUGCCGAGGGCCUGGCUGCUAGGACUUCAACAUGUGAAUGUGGGGGGACCUCGUUCAACACUGACCAUUUCUCUAAAGGUUUCAAGGGGGACCAUGACUUGACAUAUGCCUCACUUUUGGACUUCUAGCUUCCAAAAGUGUGAGGAAACAAAUUGGUUUUGUUCCAGGCCACGGAGUCUGCAAUGCGUUGUUACGAUAGCCUUAGGGUGCAAACCCAGUUGCUCAAAGGACAGGAGAGAUGAAAUGUAACUCAGAUAGGAGGUGUACUUUGAGGGAAGGAUUAUUCCAAAGCAGGGAAGCAAUGGAAUGGAGGCUACGUGGACAUGCUGCGGAUGGAAAGGCAAGGCCUGGACCCCAGGAGGAAGAGGGUACAGGCAGUGAGUGAAUCCCAGGCUUGGAUGGAGGGCGAGGGGUGGUCGGGUUUGUUCUACUCAGGUAUUCUUCCAGCCACCUGCUUGGUUAUCCAGAGAUGGGAGAUGCCGGGAAGGGAUGAACAUGAAGGUGAGCACGGGGUGGGGGCACCAGGGCCUGGGAGAAGUCAGAGCCUUCAGAGGCUGUGUGUCCACUGGGAGCGGGGGCGCUUGUGCAAGAAACAAGAGUCAUUUUUUUCCGUUCUUUUUCCUCCCCGACCUCCACCCUCAAUCUGGACAUGUCGCAAAUUUCAGCUCUAAACUAAAAUCCUAAAAUCGGGGACUCCCCACUGUGGUGCAACAGGAUUGCAGUGUCUCUGGAGCGCUGGGACGCAGGUUUGAUCCCUGGCCCUGCACAGUGGGUUAAGGAUCCGGUGUUGCUACAGCUUCAGCAUGGGUCACAGCUGUGACUCGGACCUGAUCCCUGGCCCGGGAGCUCCAUAUGCUAUGGGGGGGCCAGAAAAAGAAAGGAAAAGGAAAGAGGAGAGGAGAGGAGAGAAAACCCCACGGGGAGUUCCUGUUGUGACACAGCAGACACGAAUCCAACUAGUAUCCCUGAGGAUGUGAAUUCAAUCCCUAGCCUCGCUCAGUGGGCCGGGGAGCCAUCGUUGCUGCGGCUGUGGUGUAGGCUGGCAAUGGCAGCUCCGAUUCGACCCCUAGCCUGGGAACUUGCAUAUACCGCGAGCAUUGCCCUAAAAAGCAAAAACAUAAAAAUAAAAACCUAAAGUUUUUUAAAAAAUUAAAAAAUGAACCAAGAGUGGUAUUCCGAAGUGGAGUGGACCAAGGGAAGCUUCUAGUUCGGUUCUGAGUUUUCGGGUGACUCAGGGGUCACUUACCAUCUGGCAUGUUUCUUUAUCAUCCGCAGUAGAGAAGGUUUGCCGAGCACCCCAGGAGGAGAACCCCCCCUCCGCUGCUGCCCCCGCUCACUCGCUAUUUUCUCUCCUGCCUGCCUGGCUCCAGAACCUCUCCCAAGCUCAGCAUCACGCCCUCCGCCCCCUCCCAGCCCUUGGAAUGCCCCCCCCAAUCCGACAGACUCCAGGACUCCUCAGCACCCCCGGCACCAGCUCCCCUUCCACCUUUGCCACCAGAACAGUCUGGAAAGCUGAUGCCUCAAUCCCGGUAAGGUCCUGCAUGGCUUUUCUCUUCUUUAAUUAUUUUAGUCACACUGCCUGUGCUUUGACUCAUAUUACAAAUAAAGCUGGGAUGACCCAGCGGUCAGAGACGUUUUUACAUCCCUUCAUUAGCUUUCGAAAUAUAUCAAGCCAAGUCACAUUUUCAGAAGACAUCAUUUCGGUAUACAUUUCAGCUAAAAUCACUACACGGUUUCAGUUUCAGCGGCUGGUUUUGCAAAUGAAUAUGGUUCAGUUCAGUUUGGGGUUCACUGUUCGGGUCAGGUCACGACCCCUAAAGCAUUCCUAGAUAAGGUGGAUGAUAUUAAUUUCUUAUAAUAAUAAUGUUGAAGACAGACGUGAAAAUAACCCUUUGUCUGUGACCCCAUGGUCCUUGCAAAAAUACGAAUGAAAGGGCCCUGCAUGAUUUUCUCAGAUCAGCACAAGGAGGGAGCUUCUGUGGGCCAGAGCUCCGAUGUGUGUGCUCCUGCCAUUUCCUAAAUAAGCAGGUUUAUGGGCACUGAGGGUCGAAAGGCUGGGGCUUCCUGUUAGAGAGACCUAGCAUUUAAUAUUCAAAUGACUUAUCUAGACUGACUCACAGGGCGGGGGGAGGGUAGUAACCCAGGGGCCAGUGGGUGUAUUCCGAAAGCUUAAAACUCCCUGUGCAGUUUGGCUGCAACCCACUUUGAUCCACAGUAGGAUCUAUCUUCCUGUCUUUGUUCUUAUGCAAGCGUUUACUUCCAGCAGAUGGAAUUCUUCCUAAAAAUUCUGUAUCCGAGCUGGCCCCUUCUCACCCCCUGAGAUGAACCUACAGAUCCCCAGGGGUCACUUCCAGGCCAUGUUCUAGAACGAAGGCUGAACAACCCACGAUAUUAAAUUGGGAGGACGGGAGCUCCCAUCGUGGCUCAGCAAAAACGAAUCUGACCAGUAUCCAUGAGGAUGCAGGUUCGAUCCCUGGCCUCGCUCAGUGGGUUUAGGAGCCAGCAUUGCUGCGAGCUGUGGUGUAGCUUGCAGACAUAGUUCAGAUCUGGUGUUGCUGUGGCUGAGGUGUAGGCUGGCAGCUGUAGCUUCGAUUCCAUCCCUAGCUUGGGAACUUCCAUAUGCCGUGGGUGUGGCCCUAAAAAAAAAAAAAAAA
rnacentral:lncRNA from 1 species